ACCCAGAUAACUCAGUUGAUAGAGCAUGAGACUCUUAAUCUCAGAGUUGUGGGAUUGUGCCCCAUGCUGAGUG
rnacentral:tRNA from 1 species